GGGCCGUCCCCGCCGAGUCCGGCCGGCUUCACGCCGGAGCCGGGGACCCACCGCGUAGGCGCAGGCCCGCGUACGCACCAGGGGUGAAUCGGGACGUACGCGCCGCCGGAAAGCGGGCGCACGGCCCGUAGGGCAGCCUUCCGAACGCCCGAACCCGUCAGCUAACCCGGUAGGCGGCACACGGAAGGAGUU
rnacentral:sRNA from 2 species